rnacentral:miRNA from 9 species
GAUUUUUCCCUGGUGCCAACCG